rnacentral:rRNA from 1 species
UCAAGUUAUAAUACAGUCACCUAACAACUACUGUAUAGUAAAACUGGUUGCCCACUGAAGCUAAGCAGGGUUGAGCUGGUCAGUACCUGGAUGGGAGACCUCCUGGGAAAUCUAGGUUGCUGCUGGAA